rnacentral:rRNA from 1 species
GAUUAACGCUAGCGGCAGGCCUAAUACAUGCAAGUCGAACGGGAUUCAAAGUAGCAAUAUUUUGAUGAGAGUGGCGCACGGGUGAGUAACACGUAUGCAAUUUACCUUUAACUGGGGGAUAGCCCUCCGAAAGGAGGAUUAAUACCGCAUAAUAUAUUGAAAUGGCAUCAUUUUAAUAUUAAACCUACGGGGGUUAAAGAUGAGCAUGCAUCCGAUUAGCUAGUUGGUGUGGUAACGGCUCACCAAGGCAACGAUCGGUAGGGGGUCUGAGAGGAUGAUCCCCCACACUGGUACUGAGACACGGACCCGACUCCUACGGGAGGCAGCAGUAAGGAAUAUUGGUCAAUGGAGGGAACUCUGAACCAGCCAUGCCGCGUGAAGGAAGAAGGCGCUACGCGUUGUAAACUUCUUUUGGGUGGGACGAAAAUAAUCCAUUUAUGGAUAGCUGACGGUACCAUCAGAAUAAGCACCGGCUAACUCCGU